CCAAGCAUCGUUAUCUGAGAUAGCCUCCAUCGCUUUCAAAAUCUUAAUUACUUUUUAUCAUUUUUGAGGCUCUCCUUUUGAUUACCUGCACUGUCUCUAUAAGCUUUCUGCCAGACUUUUAAUAUGCCCUGUUCCCCCAUUUCUCCUGUUUCCGCUCUUAUCUGCGAAAAUUUCCUUCAAAUGCUUCUUGGUGCUUCAUUUUCUCAACUGUUCCCCAUGUCCGUCAGUUCUCUCGUCUCCUUCCGACACUGUCAAACUCCUCACAUCUUCCUCCAGUGCUAACAUGGCCUACCUCGGUAGUCGAUGUCCCAGGUUAGUAUUCCUACUCUCAACCGCUCCUCUUACAAGUUCAUUAGCAACCCCAUUACCAAAUCUAGAUAUUUUUUGAAAGCGGCACUCUUCAAAUCCUUUGCUUAAUAUUUGUAUAUCCUGUAUGUACGAACGGAGUACUGAUCGAUCCUCUUUUAAUGCCUUCACUCGUCGAAUAACACUGAGUGCAUCUCCUUCGAUGACUACCCGUCGGAGUCCCAUUUCUAACCCCGCCUGAACUGGCUGUAGACAGGCUAUUGCCUCUGCCGCGAAAGGUAUAAGUAGUCUCUCAUUAAAUAUCAUUUUGGCACCCAAGUUUUCUCCUUUUGAGUUCCUAUAGAUUAUACAUGUUCCUGACUGCUUCCUUUGUUUGUUGUAAGUCCCAUCAAAGUUUAUUUUGGUUAUUUGUAGUUAGUAGAAGUAAUUAUAUAAAAUUAAUGUUGGUUUAUAAUCUAAAAAAGUUGGUACAACACAUUCCCAGCAUAGCAACUACUCAUUAAAUUCAACCAAAAUAUAAUCUAUAUUACUAUAUAAGGCAUUGAAACUUUCCUUCUUUUGACCCUUAUCUAAGUUUUUUUUUUCUUUUCAUUAUAAAUAUAAAAUGAUUAAAAUUUAAUUUUGGUCUUUUUAUUUAGAUUACUUAAAAUAUUUAAAUUUCAAUUUUGAUCCCUAUAUUCCAUUGGAAUUUAAAAUUUAAUCUUCAUACUUUAUUUUUUACAUAAUUUCAAUAUUAUUUAUAUAAAAAGUAGGUCUUAAACAAUUCUAUCACCACAUGUGUCCUGAUAAGUGUCAAAAGUAAUAUAUUUUAACCUCAUCCUUAGUGCAUUUUUGAGUAAUUAUGUGGUAUUAAUUGUGAAUUAUAUACUCAUAAUUUUUUAUAUUCAUGUUUUGAUGUUUAAUAGGGUACUUGAGAGUAAUAUGAGUGAAAAGCAGUGGAAAUUAGAACAUUGGAGCAUUCCAAAAGCUGUCCACAUGCAGCAGAUUUUCAUAUAGGCAAUCCACAUGGCCGUGAAUCCACAUGACUGUGUGUUCGGGGUGCGUCGAUCUUGAGAACUGUGUGCACUAACAACUAAAAGUUACAAUUUUUAAGGUUUUUAGCGUUUUAAGAGGAUGUAAAUAGGGAAAUAAAAGGAAAUAAAGGCAGCCACCAAGGGAAAGCAAGAAAAUUACCUUGAGAACACCAUUGAAGCCAAUCUUCAAGCAAUUUCCCACAAAGAUUUAAGAGUCCAAGUUGAUUUUCAAGGGAGUUAUCAUGGAUUUCUUUUAUUCUAGUGGUUAUAUAGUAUUAUUGGUUUACUCUUGCUAUUAUUAAUUAAUUCUCUUAAUACCAAGAGAGAUGAACCCCGAGAUAGAUUCUAUUGUUUGAUUUCUAUUUUUAUGCAAUAAAAUCUUAGUUUCUUUGUUUUCAACUAUGGAUGUUUUAUUAUUCUUGGGUUAACAAUUCUAGAAUGUUAAUUCAUGUUUGAUGGACAUAAGUCUAAGGUUGAAUAGACUCUUUUUGUGAUUAAAUCUUAUAUAAUUGAAUGGAGUUACGUGUAAUUCUAGAAAUAGGACGACAUAAAUUUACCAAAUUAGAGUCAAAUUUAAUAGGGGGUCCACAGAGCAACUUAAUGCAACAGUAGGGGUUUUAAUUAGAAAUAAACUUCAAUUAAUCAACCUAGAGUUAGUUUCUCUUACGUUCAAAAGAGAUAUUAGCAUAAAUUAAAGAUUUCUAC
rnacentral:lncRNA from 1 species